UUAUGGCUCAGACGAACGCUGGCGGCAUGGAUUAGGCAUGCAAGUCGAACGGGAGCAGCAAUGCUCCAGUGGCGCAAGGGUGAGGAACACGUGAACAACCUGCCUUCGAGUUGGGGAUAGCUUCUGGAAACGGGAGAUAAUACCGAAUAACAUCACCGGAUCGCAUGAUCUGAUGAUCAAAGCAGCAAUGCGCUUGAAGAGGGUUCGCGUCCCAUUAGCUAGUUGGUGAGGUAACGGCCCACCAAGGCGAUGAUGGGUAGCUGGUCUGAGAGGACGAUCAGCCACAUUGGGACUGAGAUACUGCCCAGACUCCUACGGGAGGCUGCAGUCGAGAAUUUUGGGCAAUGGACGAAAGUCUUGACCCAGCAAUGCCGCGUGCGGGAUGAAGGUCUUCGGAUUGUAAACCGCUGUCAAGAGGGACGAAACAUGACGGUACCUCUGGAGGAAGCCACGGCUAACUACGUGCCAGCCGCCGC
rnacentral:rRNA from 1 species